UACAGAGGUCUCAAGCGUUGUUCGGAUUCAUUGGGCGUAAAGGGUGCGUAGGCGGCGCGGUAAGUCGGGUGUGAAAUCUCGGAGCUUAACUCCGAAACUGCAUUCGAUACUGCCGUGCUUGAGGACUGGAGAGGAGACUGGAAUUUACGGUGUAGCGGUGAAAUGCGUAGAUAUCGUAAGGAAGACCAGUGGCGAAGGCGGGUCUCGUGGACAGUUCCUGACGCUGAGGCACGAAGGCCCAGGGGGAGCAAAACGGGG
rnacentral:rRNA from 1 species